UUUCGAAACCUGGGAUCGAACCAGGGACCUUUAGAUCUUCAGUCUCUCUCAACUGAGCUAUUUCGGC